rnacentral:rRNA from 1 species
CUGCGUGAAGUUGGAAUUGCUAGUAAUCGCGGAUCAGCAUGCCGCGGUGAAUACGUUCCCGGGCCUUGUACACACCGCCCGUCACACCAUGGAAGUUGGUAACACCCGAAGCCUGUAGCCUAACCGCAAGGAGGGCGCAGUCGAAGGUGGGAUUAAUGACUGGGGUGAAGUCGUAACAAGGUAAC